rnacentral:rRNA from 1 species
CUACGGGUGGCUGCAGUCGAGAAUCUUCCGCAAUGCGCGAAAGCGUGACGGAGCAAUGCCGCGUGGUGGAUGAAGGCCUUAGGGUUGUAAACACCUGUCACAUGGGACGAAUUUUGACGGUACCAUGAGAGGAAGCCACGGCUAACUACGUGCCAGCAGCCGCGGUAAUACGUAGGUGGCGAGCGUUGUUCGGAUUUAUUGGGCGUAAAGGGUCCGCAGGGGGUUUGCUAAGUCUGAUGUGAAAUCCCAAGGCUCAACCUUGGAACUGCAUUGGAAACUGGUGAACUAGAGUAUCGGAGAGGUAAAUGGAAUUCCUGGUGUAGCGGUGGAAUGCGUAGAUAUCAGGAAGAACACCGAGAGCGAAGGCAAUUUACUGGACGAUCACUGACCCUCAGGGACGAAAGCGUGGGGAGCGAACAGGAUUAGAUACCCCCGUAGUC